rnacentral:rRNA from 1 species
UACGUAGGGUGCAAGCGUUGUCCGGAAUUAUUGGGCGUAAAGAGCUCGUAGGCGGUCUGUCGCGUCUGCUGUGAAAACUCGGGGCUUAACCCCGGGCCUGCAGUGGGUACGGGCAGACUAGAGUGCGGUAGGGGAGACUGGAAUUCCUGGUGUAGCGGUGAAAUGCGCAGAUAUCAGGAGGAACACCGGUGGCGAAGGCGGUGAUCUGGGCCGACACUGACGCUGUAGAGCGAAAGCGUGGGGAGCGAACAGG